GGAUCAUUACUGAGUACUACACUCUCUACCCUUUGUGAACUAUUAUACCUGUUGCUUUGGCGGCGCCCGCGAGGGUGCCCGCCGGUCUCAUAAGAAUCUCUGUUUUGAACCCGACGAUACUUUGAGUGUUCUUAGAGAACUGUCAAAACUUUUAACAACGGAUCUCUUGGCUCCAGCAUCGAUGAAGAACGCACGACGAAACGCGAUAUGUAAUGUGAAUUGCAGAAUUCAGUGAAUCAUCUGAAUCUUUGAACGCACAUGGCGCCUUCCAGUAUCCUGGGAGGCAUGCCUGUCCGAGCGUCGUUUCAACCCUCGAGCCCCCGUGGCCCGGCGUUGGGGAUCUGCACGGCAGGCCCCUAAAACCAGUGGCGGACCGAAGGCCCUCUCCUUUGCGCAGAAGCAUCAGCCUCGCAUUGGGAUCCCUCGGCGUCCUGCCUCUAAACCCCCCACAAGAGCGCUCCGGCGGCACCAAGGUUGACCUCGGAUCAGUAGGAAUA
rnacentral:misc_RNA from 1 species